rnacentral:rRNA from 1 species
UACGUAGGGUGCAAGCGUUAAUCGGAAUUACUGGGCGUAAAGGGCGCGUAGGCGGUCCUUCAAGUCAGGCGUGAAAGCCCCGGGCUCAACCUGGGAACCGCGCUUGAGACUGGCGGGCUAGAGUUCGGGAGAGGAUGGUGGAAUUCCCAGUGUAGAGGUGAAAUUCGUAGAUAUUGGGAAGAACACCGAUGGCGAAGGCAGCCAUCUGGACCGACACUGACGCUGAGGCGCGAAAGCGUGGGGAGCAAACAGG